UAUUCCACGCUGGGUUAAAUA
ensembl:piRNA 21ur-1539 ncRNA